GCUGCGCUGGCUCAAGUGGCUAGAGCGCUAGUCCCGCAUAUCAGGCUCGGGUUCAAUUCCUGUGCAUGGCA